rnacentral:rRNA from 1 species
AUUGAACGCUGGCGGCAUGCCUUACACAUGCAAGUCGAACGGGCUUUGGGGCUUGCUCCAAAGUUAGUGGCGAACGGGUGAGUAAUGUAUCGGAACGUACCCUAGAGUGGGGGAUAACCAGUCGAAAGACUGGCUAAUACCGCAUACGAUCUACGGAUGAAAGUGGGGGUCCUUCGGGCCUCAUGCUCAUGGAUCGGCCGAUAUCUGAUUAGAGAGUUGUUGGGGUAAAAGCCUACCAAGGCGACGAUCAGUAGCUGGUCUGAGAGGACGAUCAGCCACACUGGGACUGAGACACGGCCCAGACUCCUACGGGAGGCAGCAGUGGGGAAUUUUGGACAAUGGGCGAAAGCCUGAUCCAGCAAUGCCGCGUGAGUGAAGAAGGCCUUCGGGUUGUAAAGCUCUUUUGUCAGGGAAGAAAAGGCUCUGGAUAAUACCUGGGGUUCAUGACGGUACCUGAAGAAUAAGCACCGGCUAACUACGUGCCAGCAGCCGCCGUAA